CAUCUUUUCUAGUAUUUUAUUUGAGAUCUAACCUGCCCAAUGAAUAAUUUUAAAUGGCCGCGGUAUUUUGACCGUGCAAAGGUAGCAUAAUCAUUAGUUUAUUAAUUGUAGACUUGUAUGAAUGGUUGGACGAAAUACUUACUGUCUCAUAUUUAUAAUUAUAAUUUAAAUUUUGAGUUAAAAUGCUUAAAUUUUUUUAAAGGACGAGAAGACCCUAUAGAUCUUUAUUUUGAAAUUAUUUUUAUUUUUUAGUAUUAUUUAUUUAAUAAUAUUUUUAUUAUUUUGUUGGGGUGACAUUUGUAUAUAAUUAACUAUUUAUUUUAUUUAUUCAAUUAUUUUUGUAAAUUUGACCUUUUAUUAUUGUUAUAAGAUUUAGAUACCUUAGGGAUAACAGCGUAAUUCUUUUUGAGAGUUCUUAUCGACAAGAGAGAUUGCGACCUCGAUGUUGGAUUAAGAUUAUAAUUAGGUGUAGGUGCUUAAUUAGUGGGUCUGUUCGACCUAUAAAUUCUUAC
rnacentral:rRNA from 1 species